AUUGAACGCUGGCGGCAGGCCUAACACAUGCAAGUCGAACGGUAGCACAGAGGAGCUUGCUCCUUGGGUGACGAGUGGCGGACGGGUGAGUAGUGUCUGGGAAACUGCCCGAUGGAGGGGGAUAACUACUGGAAACGGUAGCUAAUACCGCAUAACGUCUUCGGACCAAAGUGGGGGACCUUCGGGCCUCACACCAUCGGAUGUGCCCAGAUGGGAUUAGCUAGUAGGUGGGGUAAUGGCUCACCUAGGCGACGAUCCCUAGCUGGUCUGAGGGGAUGACCAGCCACACUGGAACUGAGACACGGUCCAGACUCCUACGGGAGGCAGCAGUGGGGAAUAUUGCACAAUGGGCGCAAGCCUGAUGCAGCCAUGCCGCGUGUAUGAAGAAGGCCUCCGGGUUGUAAAGUACUUUCAGCGGGGAGGAAGGCGUUAAGGUUAAUAACCUUGGCGAUUGACGUUACCCGCAGAAGAAGCACCGGCUAACUCCGUGCCAGCCGCCGCAGUAACAC
rnacentral:rRNA from 1 species